GACAGAGGGUGCGAGCGUUAAUCGGAAUUAUUGGGCGUAAAGCGCACGUAGGUGGAUCGGUAAGUUGGAUGUGAAAUCCCUGGGCUUAACCUGGGAAUUGCAUUCAAUACUGCCAAUCUAGAGUACAGUAGAGGGAAGUGGAAUUUCCGGUGUAGCGGUGAAAUGCGUAGAUAUCGGAAAGAACAUCAGUGGCGAAGGCGACUUCCUGGACUGAUACUGACACUGAGGUGCGAAAGCGUGGGGAGCAAACAGG
rnacentral:rRNA from 1 species